AGACAGAACAGGGUUAAUGUAUCAUUCCCUUGCUGAGGGCAAUGUAGUAAUAACAGACCCAAGGUCCAUCAAACCAUGGAGGUCAGUGUGUAGGAGAGAUGGGGGCUACAGUGCAGGACACAGAGGUCAGUGUGUAGGAGAGAUGGUGGCUACAGUGCAGGACACAGAGGUCAGUAUGUAGGAGAGAUGGGGGCUACAGUGCAGGACACAGAGGUCAGUGUGUAGGAGAGAUGGGGGCUACAGCGCAGGACACAGAGGUCAGUGUGUAGGAGAGAUGGGGGCUACAGCGCAGGACACAGAGGUCAGUGUGUAGGAGAGAUGGGGGCUACAGCGCAGGACACAGAGGUCAGUGUGUAGGAGAGAUGGGGGCUACAGUGCAGGACACAGAGGUCAGUGAACAAGAAAGAUGAGGGUUACUGGGCAGGACAGAGAGGUCAGUGCGGAGGAGAAACGGGGGCUAUAGCACAAGACACAGAGGUCAGUGCGUAGGAGAGACAGGAGCUACGCUACAUCUU